rnacentral:misc_RNA from 1 species
UUUCCGUAGGUGAACCCGCGGAAGGAUCAUUACAGUGUUCCCUGCCCUUCGGGGUAGGAUCGCCACCCUUGAUUAUUUAUGAGUGUUGCUUUGGCGGGCCUCGCGGCCUGGCCGCGCCCCGGCUUCGGCGGGGGAGCGCCCGCCAGAGGAUUCUACAAACCUGAUUAUUAGUGUCGUCUGAGUACUAUAUAAUAGUUAAAACUUUCAACAACGGAUCUCUUGGUUCUG